CCUACGGGGUGCAGCAGUAGGGAAUCUUCCACAAUGGGCGAAAGCCUGAUGGAGCAACGCCGCGUGGGUGAAGAAGGUCUUCGGAUCGUAAAACCCUGUUGUUAGAGAAGAAAGUGCGUGAGAGUAACUGUUCACGUUUCGACGGUAUCUAACCAGAAAGCCACGGCUAACUACGUGCCAGCAGCCGCGGUAAUACGUAGGUGGCAAGCGUUAUCCGGAUUUAUUGGGCGUAAAGGGAACGCAGGCGGGCGUUUAAGUCUGAUGUGAAAGCCUUCGGCUUAACCGGAGUAGUGCAUUGGAAACUGGGAGACUGGAGUGCAGAAGAGGAGAGUGGAACUCCAUGUGUAGCGGUGAAAUGCGUAGAUAUAUGGAAGAACACCAGUGGCGAAAGCGGCUCUCUGGUCUGUAACUGACGCUGAGGUUCGAAAGCGUGGGUAGCAAACAGGAUUAGAUACCCCUGUAGUC
rnacentral:rRNA from 1 species